CCUACGGGGUGCAGCAGUGGGGAAUAUUGCACAAUGGGCGAAAGCCUGAUGCAGUAACGCCGCGUGAGUGAUGACGGCCUUCGGGUUGUAAAGCCCUGUCUUCAGGGACGAUAAUGACGGUACCUGAGGAGGAAGCGACGGCUAACUACGGGCCAGCAGCCGCGGUAAUACGGAGGGGGCGAGCGGUGUCCGGAUUUACUGGGCGUAAAGGGGGCGUAGGCGGGCUUUUAAGUGAGAUGGGAAAUACUCGGGCUCAACUUGAGUGCUGCAUUUGAAACUGGAAGGCGAGAGUGCGGGAGAGGUGAAUGGAAUUCCUGGUGUAGCGGUGAAAUGCUUAGAGAUUAGGAAGAACACCGGUGGCGAAGGCGAUUCUCUGGACUGUAACUGACGCUGAGGCUCGAAAGCGUGGGUAGCAAACAGGAUUAGAUACCCGAGUAGUC
rnacentral:rRNA from 1 species